UGCAGUCGACGCNNCGCAAGGUGAGUGGCAGACGGGUGAGUAACGCGUGGGAACCUACCCUUUGNUGCGGAANAACUCCUGGAAACGGGUGCUAAUACCGCAUGCGCCCUUCGGGGGAAAGAUUUAUCGCCGANGGAUUGGCCCGCGUCUGAUUAGCUAGUUGGUGAGGUAAUGGCUCACCAAGGCGACGAUCCAUAGCUGGUCUGAGAGGAUGAUCAGCCACACUGGGACUGAGACACGGCCCAGACUCCUACGGGAGGCAGCAGUGGGGAAUAUUGGACAAUGGGCGCAAGCCUGAUCCAGCCAUGCCGCGUGAGUGAUGAAGGCCCUAGGGUUGUAAAGCUCUUUCACCGAGGANGAUAAUGACGUUACUCGCANAAGAAGCCCCGGCUAACUUCGUGCCAGCA
rnacentral:rRNA from 1 species